rnacentral:rRNA from 1 species
GACGAACGCUGGCGGCGUGCUUAACACAUGCAAGUCGAACGGAGCACCCUUGAUUGAGGUUUCGGCCAAAUGAUAGGAAUGCUUAGUGGCGGACUGGUGAGUAACGCGUGAGGAACCUGCCUUUCAGAGGGGGACAACAGUUGGAAACGACUGCUAAUACCGCAUGACGCAUUUUGAUCGCAUGGUCGAAAUGCCAAAGAUUUAUCGCCUAACGAUGGCCUCGCGUCUGAUUAGCUAGUUGGUGAGGUAACGGCCCACCAAGGCGACGAUCAGUAGCCAGACUGAGAGGUUGACCGGCCACAUCGGGAAUGAGAUACGGCCCAGACUCCUACGAGCGGCAGCAAUGGGGAAUAUUGGGCAAGGGGCGCAAGGCUGACCCAGCAACGCCGCGUGAAGGAAGAAGGCUUUCGGGUUGUAAACUGCUUUUCUGGGAGAGAACGAAUGGCGGUAUCUCAGGAAUAAGAGACGGCUAACUACGUGCCAGCCGCCGCCGUAA